rnacentral:rRNA from 1 species
AGCACUUGUGCUUUUGAGAACUUAGCGGCGGACGGGUGAGUAACACGUGAGCAAUCUGCCUUUUGCCGGGGAAUAACACUGGGAAACCAGUGCUAAUACCGCAUAACAUCCAAGAACGGCAUCGUACUUGGAUCAAAGGGGAAAUCCAGCAAAAGAUGAGCUCGCGCCCGAUUAGGUAGUUGGUGAGGUAAUGGCUCACCAAGCCCACGAUCGGUAGCCGGACUGAGAGGUUGAACGGCCACAUUGGGACUGAGACACGGCCCAGACUCC